rnacentral:rRNA from 1 species
UUGGAGGGCAAGUCUGGUGCCAGCAGCCGCGGUAAUUCCAGCUCCAAUAGCGUAUAUUAAAGUUGUUGCAGUUAAAAAGCUCGUAGUUGAACUUCGGGAUCAAUGGGUCGGUCGUGCCCUCGGUACGUACUUGGUUUUUAUUGGUUCUCACCUUCUAAUGAACCAUAAUGUCAUUCAUUUGAUGUUAGUGGGGAAUUAGGACUGUUACCUAGAAAAAAUUGAGUGUUUAAAGCAGGCUAACGCUUGAAUACAUUAGCAUGGAAUAAUGAAAUAGGACAUCGCAUUCUUAUUUUGUUGGUUUCUAGGAUCGAUGUAAUGAUUAAGUAGGGA